rnacentral:rRNA from 1 species
GACGAACGCUGGCGGCAUGCUUAACACAUGCAAGUCGAACGAGAAUCUGCGGAUCAAGGAUUCGUCCAAGAGAAGCAGAGGACAGUGGCGGACGGGUGAGUAACGCGUGAGGAACCUGCCUUUCAGAGGGGGACAACAGUUGGAAACGACUGCUAAUACCGCAUAACGCGUAGAGGUCGCAUGGCCUUUACGCCAAAGAUUUAUCGCUGAAAGAUGGCCUCGCGUCUGAUUAGCUAGUUGGUGAGGUAACGGCCCACCAAGGCGACGAUCAGUAGCCGGACUGAGAGGUUGAACGGCCACAUUGGGACUGAGAUACGGCCCAGACUCCUACGGGAGGCAGCAGUGGGGAAUAUUGGGCAAUGGGCGCAAGCCUGACCCAGCAAUGCCGCGUGAAGGAAGAAGGCUUUCGGUGUAAACUUCUUUAGCAGGGACGAAGGACGUGACGGUACCUGCAGAAAAGCAACGGCUAACUACGUG